rnacentral:lncRNA from 1 species
GUUUUUGGGAUGGUUUUUGGAUGUUUUUGGUUUAUUUUUGGAUGUUUUUGGGGUGUUUUUGGGAUGGUUUUUGGAUGUUUUUGGUUUAUUUUUGGGGUGUUUUUGGGGUGUUUUUGGGAUAUUUUUGGGAUGUUUUUGGGAUAUUUUUGGGAUGUUUUUGGGAUGUUUUUGGGGCUGUUCCAGCGCUGUUUGGGGUUUAUUUUUGGAUGUUUUUGGGAUGUUUUUGGGGUGUUUUUGGGAUAUUUUUGGGAUGUUUUUGGUUUAUUUUUGGAUGUUUUUGGGAUGUUUUUGGGGCUGUUCCGGCGCUGUUUGGGGUUUAUUUUGGGAUGUUUUUGGGAUGGUUUUGGGGUGUUUUUGGGAUGGUUUUGGGAUGGUUUUUGGAUGGUUUUGGUUUAUUUUUGGAUGUUUUUGGGGUGUUUUUGGGAUGGUUUUUGGGGUGUUUUUGGGAUGUUUUUGGGAUGGUUUUUGGAUGGUUUUUGGAUGUUUUUGGGGUGUUUUUGGGGCUGUUGCGGCGCUGUUUUUGGGGUGUUUUUUGGAUGUUUUUGGGGUGUUUUUGGGGCUGUUCCGGCGCUGUUUGGGGUUUAUUUUGGGAUGUUUUUGGGAUGGUUUUUGGAUGUUUUUGGUUUAUUUUUGGAUGUUUUUGGGGUGUUUUUGGGGCUGUUCCGGCGCUGUUUGGGGUUUAUUUUGGGAUGUUUUUGGGAUGGUUUUUGGAUGUUUUUGGGGUGUUUUUGGGGUGGUUUUGGGGCUGUCCGGGGCCGUGGCAGCUGCGCGGAGGCACCGGGGGAUCCCAAAUCCCGUCGGGUUCCUGGCUGGGGUUACUUGAAAUGAAGUUCUGGGGGCGGAUCGAGGAGCGCUAGAACUUUCCCCACGUCUCAAGGCAAUAGGAUUAAUUAAUGAAUGAAUUAAUUAACGUGUAAUUAAACUGUAGAUACUCCUAGGACGGGAAAUUGAUGCCGAUUAUUUUAUUUUGUAUCGUUUUUCCCUUUUUGUGUUGUUUUUCCCCUUUGCCCUCCUUUGCUUUCCCCCAGUGUUUCAAUAAAUUUAUUUUUUAGGAUUCCUAAAAAUGGCA